rnacentral:rRNA from 1 species
AUGCGCCGCCUACCUGCUGCUCCUCCCCGCCCAGUUCUCCACCCUCACGUCUCCCCCGCGCUCGGAGUACUGCAACAGCAUGGCCGAGUGGCGAUGGCAAGGACGAUCCCCGUAGUAUGCUACUCCUACCUGCUACCAAAUCGCAGGACGCCCAGCCAGGGCGCCAAAUUCGAACCUCUACGAUCCAGAUCAACCGGUCGGGACCGGGGCUCCGCAAUGGCCCGAGCGAAUCCCGUAGCCGCGAGCGGCGGCGAGGCGUCGCCGGAUGGCGGCAGGAACCCGUUUGCCCCGCUCGUCGAGCUGUGGCGCCGGACGGUGCAGCCGCUAGGGGACUACGGAUUCGGCAAGCGCAGCGUCUGGGAAGGCGGGGUUGGGCUCUUCAUGGUCUCCGGGGCGGCCCUGCUGGCGCUCGCGCUCGCGUGGCUCCGGGGGUUCCAGCUGCGCUCGCGCUUCCGCAAGUACAGCGCCGUGUUCGAGUUCAGCCAGGCGUGCGGGAUCUGCGUCGGCACGCCCCUCAGGAUACGCGGUGUCACCGUCGGGAGCGUCGUCCGCGUCGACUCUUCACUCAGGAGUAUUGAUGCCUAUGUUGAGGUUGAAGAUGAUAAAAUUAUUGUGCCCCGUAAUUCAUUGGUUGAGGUGAAUCAAUCUGGCCUCCUAAUGGAGACAAUGAUCGAUAUUACACCAAAAGAUCCACUCCCAACACCUUCAGUUGGUCCACUGGACACAGACUGUUCCAAAGAAGGCUUAAUCCUCUGUGACAAAGAGAGAAUGAAAGGACAACAAGGAGUAAGCUUAGAUGCAAUGGUGGGUAUAUUUACCCGUCUAGGAAGAGACAUGGAGGAAAUUGGUGUUCAUAAAAGCUUCAAGUUGGCGGAAAAGGUUGCAUCUAUAAUGGAAGAAGCACAACCUCUCCUUUCACGGAUUGAAGCAUUAGCUGAAGAAGUUCAACCUUUGGUCUCGGAGGUGCGUGAUAGUGAUCUGGUGAAGGAUGUGGAGACUAUAGCUAAAGGCCUGGCUGACGCGUCUGGUGAUUUAAGAAGGUUGAAGUCUUCCAUGCUUACCCCUGAGAACAGUGAUCUAAUCAAGCAGUCUAUAUUCACCCUUAUAUUUACUCUGAAGAACAUUGAGAGUAUUAGCUCGGACAUCUCUGGUUUCACCGGCGACGAGGCGACACGGCGGAACAUCAAGCUGCUGAUCAAGUCCCUCAGCAGACUAUUGUGA